rnacentral:lncRNA from 1 species
GGCCUCUUGAAACUCUGGCCUUUACAUUCCAGGGCCCCAAGGAGGGGGUCGUAGCCAGGCUUAUUAACAGAGAAGGAGAGGGGGGAGCGAGAGGGAGUGUGGGGGAGAAGGAAGUCUCUGCCGGCAGGGAUUAUGUGCUGUUUCCUUGCCUGGAAGCUCUUGCCUUGUACCCUCCCACUCUCUCUCCCAGCUGAGCGGUUCUCCCGCAAACUAAAGGAAACGGCAAAAACGUAAACCUGCUAUUCUCCAGCUGCCACUGCCUUCUCACUGACUGCCCUACUUGUUUUAUUUUGUGCUCCCUCUUUCCCUCCUUCUUUCCCUCUCUCUGUGCUGGUGUGUGUGUGUGUGUGUGUUUGUGUGAGGGGAUCACUUUGUUUCCAUUUUCUGCUGUGCCGCAGGCGCACAUAGUGUAGAGGAUUGGUGAAGAUACUGAUGGGGAUGCACAGCUGCACGUAGAAAGCAGAAGCCGGUUCGACUACCGCCAUCCUCCCUCUCCGAAGACAGGGGGGGGGGGGGUUGCCAUAUAGGGGCUCAGAAACAUGGAGUGGAUCCGAGGAGGGAGAGGGGAAUCUUUUCACUCCUGGUGUUGGAUGUCAUGCUCUGCUCUGCGUAGUGAUAGGAAGAGAGUGAGAUUACUCCAUACCCUGUAAGGCACACAAUCAACAAGGUAAGUUACCUUCAGAAAGAAGUUAUCCUCUACAAUACAUUGUGUUAUGUGUAUCCUGAUUUACCAAAAUAUCCAACAGCAGUUUCUUUAACUGUGGGCCUUGGAUGUGGCACAGACAUUGUGUUCCCCUCCUCAACAUGGCCUCUGUGACAUGUCUAUAGGCCAGACGAAAAUCUGUGGAGUCAUUCUUUAUCUUUGCCGU